rnacentral:tmRNA from 1 species
GGGGCUGUAACGGUUUCGACGUUCUGACGAAAGUCACUCUGUGAUUCAGGCCGAGAGUGAGCCUACUCUCGCAAAUCAAGGCUCAAAACCAAAUGUAAGUGCGAACAACAUCGCUCCUUUUGCUCGUAAAGCGGCUCCUGUUGCUGCUUAAUUAAAAAAACGCGAGCGUCUGUAGUCUGACUCCGUUAAGGGCUAUGGACAAAACCCCAACGGAUGCUGCAUUGGGUUUUCUUUGGUAGACCCUUUGCUUAAGACUUUUAUCAAAGAAUCCUGCCGCUAGGAAUAAUUAGUGGAUCCCGCUCAGAGGACCAGAUGAGCUAAGCCUGUGAAUGAGUGGAGUGUUACUACUCAGAGCGGACACGGGUUCGACUCCCGUCAGCUCCAUAC